ensembl:lncRNA
UUUUUUUUUUUUUUUUUUUUUUCUUUCUCAUCAGUAACCUGCUCAGCAUAAAAAAUACCCAUCACAGUUGAGUAAAACUCAGAUCAUGUCAAUGCUGGGGUCUGAUGCAGCAAAGCAUUUAAGCUCAUUUAUAUUAUAGCAACAAGAAUAUCUCCUCAAGUUUAUUGUGAUCAUUCAGAUGAUUGAAAGUACAUGAAAAGGUCGGUGGUUUUCUGGACUGGGGCUAAGGAAUGAAGCAUUUAAGUGACUGUCUUGCCUUUUGAUUGCUAGACUUGGGAUAGCUUCAAAUGUGAAAAUCGUACAUGUUCUGUGAUUACUUCUUCCCUCAAACUAAACAGCUGUUUGAGAAUAGCAAUCAUAAAGUGCUAAUCUCUGCCACCAAUAAACAAAAGCAAAUCGUGGAGGAAAGCUUGUUUAUCUGUAGUAAUCUCCAGGGGAUUAGCAUUUCAAGGGAUCAGAUUUCCUAAACCUCUUCUUUCUUGAUAACAGCCUCUGCUGUGAGGUGACACACCAAUAGGAAUAAAUUAUCCAGGGCUGCAGAUAAGAAGAGGCCAUUUGUGGGUUCUGAGUGCAAUAAAAAUAGAUGCAAAACAGCCCAGGAACUGGUGCUCAACAAAAACCUCACAGGGAUUAGCAGUUCAAGCUCUGAUUUCCUUGCUGUUGUUAGCUGCGAUUUAUCAUCAGACAGUGACUCAGAGUCUUUCUUAUCUGUGAUAAUUUAAUAGCUUAAUGGCAAUCCCUUUAUCUGGGGGUCAUAAUUAAGCUUGUUUGAUCAGGUUCCUAACAAGCACUUUGCCUGUAUUUUUAGCUAUGUCUAUUUUUUUUUCUCUCAGUGUAGGAGCAUUUUUGCUAAUUAGCAUUAACAAUAUUAUUGUUAACAAUUAUUGGUAAUGAUAACAAUCUCGUUUGGGGUUACUAUUUAUCUGGAGGAAAAAUGCAAGCUGAAAAAAAGAUACAACUCUUCUCGACUUUAAUACAUUUACAGGCAAAUUUAAACUGCAGUGUCUCAGCAACUCAUUGGCUUGUCAGAUUCAAAUCUAACUCAAACACAAAGCUGAAAAUGAAAAACUACUGCAUAAAAUCACUUUCAAUGGACUCAUUUUCUUUGGUACAAAAUUAACACCAAUUUGAGAGUAAGCAUGACUGCUAUUUUACAGUGCAUUUACUGUCCCUCUUUGUCAUUCUACUAAUGAGCUGUUUCUUUGUUUCUUCCACUGUCAUGAAAAUUUCCUUAACAAGAGAUGAACUUUGAGAUCUUACUACGACUGUUUAAAAACACAGGUGUCAUCAAAAUGAAUCUACUGGCAGUUUUUUCAUUGACAGCAC